rnacentral:lncRNA from 1 species
GUUCUCCAGGUGGCUAUGCCUAAGGAACAUUGUAGGAGAGAAUGUGGUAGGUUCUGGAGAUCAGAAGUCCAAGAUCAAGGUGUCAGCAGAAUUGCUCCCUUCCGAGGACUAUGAGAAAGAAUGCGUUCCAUGCCUCACUCCCAGCUUCUGGUGCUUUGCUGAUGAGAAAAAGUGAGCUCCGAGAAGGAAAGUGACUUGCCCAGGGACACACACAAGGAUGUGGACAGCUGGGUGUGUUCUCCUCAUUUGGAACAGGGCAAGGAUUGUACGGGCUGCCUGUCCUGCAGGGCUGGGGGAGGAUGGAUGAGGGAGUGGAUAAUAAACAUCAAAUGCUGUCUGCUCUCGGCGGAGGGCGC